GAUGAAGAACGCAGCGAAAUGCGAUACUUGGUGUGAAUUGCAGAAUCCCGUGAACCAUCGAGUCUUUGAACGCAAGUUGCGCCCGAAGCCAUUAGGCCGAGGGCACGCCUGCCUGGGCGUCACACGUCGUUGCCCCCCCAUCUACUCCUUCGGGAUUGCGGGGGGCGGAUGAUGGCCUCUCGUGCGCCUCGUCGCGCGGUUGGCCUAAAUGCCAAGUCCUCGGCGACGCACGCCACGACAAUCGGUGGUUGCGAAACCUCGGUUGCCUGUCGUGUGCGGUCGUCGCGCAUCGAGGGCGCGAAAAAAUUGCCGGGCUUCGGCUCGACUUUCAACGCGACCCCAGGUCAGGCGGGGUUACCCGCUGAAUUUAAGCAUAUCAAUAAGCGGAGGA
rnacentral:misc_RNA from 1 species